rnacentral:rRNA from 1 species
GUCUCCUGAAGGAACGUUGAAGACGACGACGUUGAUAGGCCGGGUGUGUAAGCGCAGCGAUGUGUUGAGCUAACCGGUACUAAUGAACCGUGAGGCUUAACCUU